rnacentral:sRNA from 1 species
AUUGAAAAGAUCCAGCUCCAUUUGUCCCGUCAGACUGCACUAACCGAAGAGGACAUUCUAAACGUCAAAAAUUUGAAUUUUUUCUCGCCGAGACCUCAAGAAUCCACGGAAACUCUUCCCGGAACCUCAAAUUCUCGAAUUGAUGAGCCAGAGGAGCUCGAGGAGCUCGACUACAACGAAUCACUGUCAGAUUGGUCGGAAUCUCAAAGAAGUGCGGAAGAGCUGGCCGAAGAAGACGAAUUGAAUUUCGUUGAAAAUGGCUUAAACGACGUGAAAAUCGAGUCAGAAAUCGAAGAAACCGCAUAUUUUCCGGCAAUUCCACCGGAAACCGCCGAAAAUGCGUGGGAAAUUCUGAAAAAUUUGCAAAUUUUAAAGGAAAAAGCAAUCAAAACCGAGGAGGAGGAGGAUAUUAUUUAUUUAUCAUCAGAUUCGGAAUCUGAAGAUGCUGAAGCUGAAAGAGACGAUUUUCUGCAAAAAUCCAAUGUUUCUCAGGCGAAUUUCAUAAAACAUUUAUCCAAGGAUCGAGCUCG